UUACUAAUCCUAGUUUAGACGAAGAAGUUAUGAAACGUGAGAUCAAGUUAAUGGAUGCAGGUUUGUCAUUUUUGCUGUAAUCGCUAUUGAGAUCAGUGAUAUAAUUCUAUUACUAUUGCUGAUAUUUAACAAGUUUUCUUUUCUUUUCUUUUCAGAAUUUGAAUUAAGUAGACAAACUGAUUUAGUACGUCUUGAACAGCUCAUGGCACAUGGAGCUCCAAAACGUCAUCCCUUUAACAGAUUUACAUGGGGCAACCACAAGUCUCUUUCCACGGAAAGAUCCUUCCAUAAUCGUCUUACUGGGUUAUUCAAAAAAAUUUAUGUGGGUGCUGCCAUGAACCUUGUGGUGUAUGGGGCAGGUAAAAUAAUUUGUAUUACAAUUUCUACUCUUUUAUGCAAUUCAAAAGAAUGAUUCAUUUGAUAUGUCUCUUAUUGUAAUCGCUUGUAGAACCUGUUGAUAAACUUCAAGCAUGGGUGACUUCUUACUUCUCUGGUAUUAAGCGCAUUCAGCAAGGAUUACAAACUGAAUUAUUUAGGCUUAAUUCAAGCAUUCCUUUUUGGAAACGUAAAAAGCUCUACAUGCUGAAAGCUCUUGAGGACGACAAUAUUCUUCGUCUUACUUGGAGAAUUCCUCCCCAGAUUCCUAGAGAUGCAGUUUCAAAAAAAUCUGCAGAUUCAGAUUCUCAUCUAUACAAGCCAGAAAUUUUUCUUGAAAAAGUCUUAGGCCAUCGAUCUCAAGGAUCACUUUACUCUCUUUUCAAAAACAAAGGAUGGAUUACUAGCCUAGAUGUUUUCAUUGGGGCUUGUAAUGGUUCUGAAGAUUCCGAGUUAUCGAUUGAUAGCACUUCAAUAGCUAGGGAGAUUAUUCACUCUUUCUCUUCAUCUGAAAGACAACAUCAUUAUCACUGAGGUACUAUUCUAUUGUUUACUCUUUCAAUUCAAUUUCACCAAUGUGUAUAAGUUUCCUAGUUUUGUAACUCUUGAAGAACCUCCUCCUUUUUUUUUUUACAGAUAUAUGACAUCGUCACCUAUGUCUAUAAAUUUCUUAGUUUCGUAACUCGUGAAGAAGCUCCUUCUUGGAUCAUGCAAGAAUAUUUUGAGAUGAGAAAAAAACAGUUUGAAUCAUUUGAUGAUUAUGAUGAACUUGGUUUAAACAUGGAGUCUUUAGUUCAUAGAAUUGCAGGUUUGGUUUUUGCUCUCGUAUUUUUUGAUACUUCUUUGUUUUACUACCAAUUUUAUUUAAUUUCUAAUAAAAUUUUGUCCUAUACAGCUAACAUGCUUCAUUAUCCAUUGAAGCAUGUACUUUCUGGGGAUUACAUCAACCUUCGGCACAGCAAAGAGUCCGUUUUAGAACUCUUGCAGUAUUUUGAUAGAAAGAAUAUGAGGCUUGAUUUCAUAUCUAAACAUUUGAUCAAGCAGGUAUAAAGAAAUCAAUUAAAUCUCAUUGGUUUUUUUUGGUUUUUUUUGUUUGAACCAUGUGUUUGUCUUAAUUUUUAUUCUUUGUAUACAUGUUGCAAAGUUGAACCGUGGUUCAACUCUUUCUACACCAAAGUACCUAUUUCAUCUUCUAUUA